rnacentral:lncRNA from 1 species
AAGGAUUUGUAUUGAUUUAUCUGGGGAAUGCCCCGAAGUAGUAUGUACGCAAAGUAGGCUCGUGAUCAAGGCCCGGAAUGUCGGGUGGAGUUUAGUUUAGGAUUAGUUUAGAAUAGAAUAGGUUUUAUAUUUCAGCACCUCUUUUAUUUUGGAUUGUAUAAUUUGGACUGAACAUUAUUUUGGUUUGUUUUGAAUUUUGUGUGAUUUGUUUGUUUGCUUGUUUUGUGUGUUUAUGUGGUUUGUACAUUUGUAAUGUCAAAUUAGCCGAUACGCUCCACCAAGCGA